GGUCGGGUGGCGCAAUUAGUAGCGCGUUACUUUCCGGUGAUUUAAUGCUCCCAUCUGGUAAAGGCUCUGGGUUUGAGUCCCAGCUCGAUUG